rnacentral:lncRNA from 1 species
UUUAGUUUUCGAAAACUGUGAGUAAACUUAUUAUCAUCUUAAUUAUCUAGAGUAGUUUUAUACAAUUGUGUGAUUUUAUGAAAAAUGGGUUUAAAUGGUAAAUUGCUAUGUUUUAAAAGAAAUUUAAUUUUAUAAAAUGAUUUUAUAAAUUUUUUGGAAAAUCGAAUACUGGUUUUGAAAAUAGAGUAAUUAGAGACUGCCUGCUUGUGUUAUAAAUUUAUGGUUUUAAAUUGAAUGGCUUAUGACAAUAAAUGAGCAUGAAUGGCUAAACUGAUUUUGGUGUAAGAAUUAUUUGUACUGUGUAUUCAGCCUUGAGAGGCUAGGUUGUGAUAAAUUGUCAUGUCAUGCAGUAAAAAGAUUUUAUAAAUCAGGUGGUAGAUAAAAGAUUAGCUACUGCAGUGGCGGGGUUCCGUGGGCCAACCUAUUAGAAGGGCACGGUAAACUCCUUUAUAUUCUCACCUCGGUCGUAGAGGCACGUAGGGUAUCUCCUGAGGUGGGCUUUUUGAGUGCACUUCACAUGAACCACCGUGUGAGAGUGAGACUCAGCCAAUGUCAUGGAACGGCUAUGUUUCAAAAUAAAAAUAUGAUUUAUGCGAAAUAUGAAUUUUUAAUAGCAUUUGCGGACUCGAUUGGAUACCCCUGGUCCAAGUGUCCCCGAGUACAGGAUUUGGCAUGAGCCAAGUUUUGAGUAAUUCACGAGCCAUAUUGAUUAUUUGGUUGAAAUGAAUAUUCGUGAUGUGAAAAAUUUACUGAAGUUAAUUAUUUUUAAUUGUCUCCAUUUACUUGCCUUUAGAUAGUUUAGAUGGUGUCUGUUUACUCACUGGGAUUUUAUAAUCUCACCACCCUCAAUUCCUCACAUUUCAGGUUCGGGAUAGCUGGUAGAUAGCCGAUUGCAUCAAGGACUUCAGUUAGCCUUGCAUUGUCAAAAUUAUAGGUCCACAAACUCGCAUCUUAUUGGUUAGUUGGGGGCUCACGUGUCAUUGUAAAAGUAAUUUUAUACUUUAGUUAUUUGAUUUAAAAUAUGUAUGAACAUAUUUAGCUUUUACACCAUGUUUUUGGCGAGUUUCGGUAUUAUCGAAGAAAAAUGACGAAAAUGCCCCUGUGAGCCAGAAAAUAAUAUUUUAUUAUUUUGAUUUGGAAACGACUUAUGAUUUCUUGAAAUGCAAGAUUUAAUAACUAUCGCUCAUGGGGGAGAUGCGGAAGCUGAUGCUAAGCCUUGUGGGGUUUCGAUCGGCA